AUCCCGUUUACAGGAGCAACGUAGACAAGAAACAGUUCAUCAGUCCAAUUGGAAUUGUCCUCAGUGAUCAAGUGUAUGCAUUUGCGCUAAAAAUGGAAAAAGAAAAAAAAGAACAAAGAGAAGAUAAAACAAUUUUACGCUAUAUUACGUGUGCAGGAAAACUUCAUUCUGAAGACAACAACAUUACUAUUAGAUGGAACGAUUUUUCCAAAGUUUUACUGAAACCAGAAGAAGAGUUGUUGAGCUUCGUUGCACUACCAGGUCGGUAUCAUUCGUAUAUCUUCCUUGGAUUUAUAAAUGUAUCUAAAGACAGACGAUUGCUAGGGAAGGUGUUUUCUUUCCUGCCAGACGGAAGCUUUAA